rnacentral:rRNA from 1 species
UGGGGAAUAUUGCACAAUGGAGGGAACUCUGAUGCAGCGACGCCGCGUGAACGAAGAAGGCUUUCGAGUCGUAAAGCUCUGUCCUAUGGGAAGAUAAUGACGGUACCAUAAGAAAAAGCCCCGGCUAACUACGUGCCAGCAGCCGCGGUAAUACGUAGGGGGCUAGCGUUGUCCGGAAUCACUGGGCGUAAAGGGUUCGCAGGCGGAAAUGCAAGUCAGGUGUAAAAGGCAGUAGCUUAACUACUGUAAGCAUUUGAAACUGCAUAUCUUGAGAAGAGUAGAGGUAAGUGGAAUUUUUAGUGUAGCGGUGAAAUGCGUAGAUAUUAAAAAGAAUGCCGGUGGCGAAGGCGACUUACUGGGCUCAUUCUGACGCUGAGGAACGAAAGCGUGGGUAGCAAACAGG